UUAGGCAAAGAUGAAAUCACACUACAUGAUCCCGAAGGUAAGCGAGGUAAGGAAAUUUUAGAAACCGAGUCCAGUGCAGAUUUGAAAAUUAUUGAUAAAACUUUUGGUGACUUAGUUCUUAAAAGAUCCCCUCAUUUUGAUCCAAUUAAUUGUUACUCUUCGAUUGUGGUUGAUAAAGUCAUUACGAAAAGAAGCGUGAUUUGUUAUUCUCUUGAUUUACCUUGUGUAAAAUCCUCGAAUUUGUCCAAAU
rnacentral:lncRNA from 1 species